rnacentral:rRNA from 1 species
UACGAAGGGUGCAAGCGUUACUCGGAAUUACUGGGCGUAAAGCGUGCGUAGGUGGUUCGUUAAGUCUGAUGUGAAAGCCCUGGGCUCAACCUGGGAAUGGCAUUGGAAACUGGCGACCUAGAGUGCGGUAGAGGGUAGUGGAAUUCCCGGUGUAGCAGUGAAAUGCGUAGAGAUCGGGAGGAACAUCCGUGGCGAAGGCGACUACCUGGACCAGCACUGACGCUGAGGCACGAAAGCGUGGGGAGCGAACAGG